rnacentral:lncRNA from 1 species
GGCACGGAACGGAAUUUUGGAACAUAAAAUGGAAGUCAAGGGACUAAACUAGAAGAACUAUAUUGCUAAUGAACCUGAAAACCUUGAUGUGCCUAAAAUUUGAGCAGUACCAAAAUCAUUUAAGGCAAUUGUUGGGGUCCACUUGAGAGAACUUAAAUCUACCUUGAAAAUACAACAACUAGGGGACCCUUAAUGUGCCAACCCUAUAUCCUAUUUCAUCAAAUAAACAAGAAAUGUGACUUGGAGAAGCAGUUGAACUAAAACUUUAGGAACAACCACCACCAAACAACUCCUGUAUAUUCAUCAUUUUAAUGUUCUAUUUCAUUCCAAUCCCA